UCCAUACAAAUCCAUGCUCGUCCCCCUCCCCCAUCCAUGCUGGCUGUUCUGCCUUGGACCUCGUUCCGCUGGCACAAAAGAUCCCUUUUAGAUGGGGACUGUUCUUAUGGAGACUGGAGGAAGGAUUUUCUUUUCCGUUGUGUUUGUGAGUGUGUGCGCGUGUGUGUGCGCGUGUGUGUGUGGCUAAAUAGAUUGUGGGGCGGCUUCAUGGGGAAGCUUUCUGAGGUCAAUACGAAAGCCCAUCUUUGUGUGGGAGAACAUGAACAAGGAGCUCUUCACACAGCCAAUGCUCAUAAACAGUGUCAGUGGAGCAUUAACAUUACAAUGGGCGGGGGCUGCAGAGGGUUUGUCUCACGCCCAGUCUGAGUCUGUCUGCUUGCUAUGUGUACUGAACUUCCACUUUUGGAUUCCCUGCCGAUGAUUCCUCCCAGUGAUUUGGAAAAUCAUGGUACAACAAUUCUUGAAGAACAUCUUGUCACGGAUGGAGUGUGGAAAGGAGCGGGGCGACCAAGUGCAGCUUGGACCAGGGUUUAUUGGAGGAACUCAAAACGCAGACUUGGUAAACUAAUUGUGAUAAAUAACUGGAACAUCACUCAAAUAUUGGUGAUCCCGUUGAGAGUCUCACAUAUUUCUUCGCAAUCGAGUUUGCUACUGCAUGCGCAGUGAUACUGACCGGCAGAAUAACAUCCGGUUGUUCCCAAAGAUGAUCUUUUUUCUGAAAUAAUUUUACGUUUACGGAUUUAAGUAAGCCGGUCGGGUCAUACCAAAGACUAUAAAAAUGGGACCCAUUGCCUCCCUGCUUGGCACUCAGCAUUAAGGGUUGGAAUUGGGGGGUUAGCUCACCAAAUGAUUCCCGAGCGCGGCGCCGCUGCUGCUCACUGCUCCCCUCUCCCCCAAGGGAUGGAUCAAAAUCACACGGGGAUGGGUCAAAUGCAGAGGACAAAUUUCACCACAGCCAGAUGCGUGUGUGACGAUCAUUGGGACUUUAAAAAAAAAAAGAGUCAAAAUUUGGGUGCGUAUUAUACAUGGGUACAGGCUUUUUUCCAGCAUCGACAUGCCAUUUUUAGGGUGCGUAUUAUACAUGGGGGCGCAAUAUACACGGAAAAAAACGGUAACUAUUAUAUAAGCAAUAAUAUUACCAAACCAUCUGUGUCACUCCAAAUCAUUAAAUCCAUCAAUCAAUUUCCUCAUCCUUUGACAACAACGCCGCGCGUGCGCCCUGACAUCAGCCUCGUCGUUAUUCCGCAGAUCUAGUAUAUAACUAUAUUGUAGCGUUAACAAAGUACAAGGAAAGACGUGGGUUUGGUAAACAGCUCUUUAUUUAACAAAGCAAGAGUUCAACGAGCCAACAACUACUGAACUGUAACAAUAAAACCAUAUAUAAGUUGCUAAACGAAAUAAAAUAUAUCAAAUGACUAUAACAUAAAUAGUUCACCGCAACACGGCCCCAAGCACCGGCGUUGACUUCCAGGCGUGUGGCGGCGUGGACUUCCAUCCCCGGAGGUGGCACUUCCAGCCACGGAGGUGGCUGGGACCUCCGUAGAGUAGGACCGGGUGUGCGUAAAAGCCAUGUCCGAGCCCCAUCCACCGUCCCCGGACAGCCACCCGGCCGAGCGUCGGACCCCAACUUCCAUCCAUGGAAGUGAAAGAGAGCUCCGUAGAGUAGGACCGGGCAUGCGUAAAAGCCAAAAUAGUUUUUCAAACCUUCUGUGUCACUCCAAAUCAUUAAAUCCUUCAAACUCUUCAUCCUCAGUGUCACUUAAAAACAAAGCCGCUAAUGAUGCCGGUAGUACGUGGGGCCCUUCGUCAUCCCGUGAUCGAAUCUUUGUCCUUUAUGUAAACAACCGCCGCGCCGCUGACGUCACUUGAAAUUGAAAUUACAGUAAUCCCUUAAUACAUCGCAGUUUCACCAGUUUUUUUUUUUAAUUUUGAAAAUCUUUGAAAAAAUUCACAUAUAAAUCGCUCCUCAGUAUAAAUCACCCCCCCCACCCAAACUAUGAAAAAAAUCGCGAUUUAUAGUCCGAAAUUUACGGUAAUUUCCAUACUGUGGGCUGUGAUAUGAUGGAAUGCAAUGUAUACACAUUUUUUAAAAAUGCGAACAUUUUCAUCAUGUUCAAUCGAAAAACUGCCUUGUUGGCUUCCUUCCUUCCUUCCUUCCUUCCUUCCUUCCUUCCUUCCUUCCUUCCUUCCUUCCUUCCUUCCUUCCUUCCUUCCUUCCUUCCUUCCUUCCUUCCUUCCUACACAAAUACUAUUCCAGUACCAGUGGGUAAAAUAUUAUUCACUUCAACCUUUUUUUUUUUUUUUUUUUUUUUUUCUCUUGGUAUGGCGCCGUGAGUGGCUGCCUCCCAGCAGUGUUCUCUCUUUUCCUCUUUAUUUCCUUAUUUUCUCCUUUUUCUUUCUGUCUUUUUGUCCAUUCGGCGAUGCUGGUGCCUUCUACCGCACCUCGGUACCUCUUCGGAUCGGAUAUUUUGUUUUAUUUAUUUUUUCUUCCUGGGACCGGACCGGGAUCAUCGGUCGAGACCGGCGUAACUCUACGACGGCUUCCUGCUUAUCCGACCAGUGAUGACCGGGUCCCUCGCAUUGGCCUUGCAGCCGCAACACCUGUGGGGAGUCCGCUCCCUCGUGCUCGUCGGAACCGACGACUUUCGCCAUGCUAGCCCCGUGGUGGCCAUCUGCACGUCCCCCGACAGGGUGCCCGGGACGCUGCUCACACGUUUGCCUGCUUUGUGAUGUUUUCACCGAUUCACCACCACGGUCCAUUGGGCGCCGUUGAACUGGACUGCCCUUACACCUGUCGAUGGACCCCGUGGAGGCUAUUUUGUGUGUUUUGGGGUGUUCUCUUGUAUUGAGGGGUGCUAGGUGGCCGCUGUUGCUUUUUUUUCCUUUGUCUUUUAGCUUUGAUUUGCUUUGAUGGCUUUUAUCUUGUGCACUUUCUGACUUUCUUUGUGGCGCCGUUGUGUGGCAGCCUUGUGAGAGCCUAUUGAGUUGCGCUCAUGCCAUCUGUGUGUUUUUUGUAUACCCACUCUGUGGUAUGGAUACUGCUGGGGCCUGAAUUUCCCCACCCCUGGGGAUCAAUAAAUAUUCAAUCAAUCAAUCAAUACAAA